GCUUUGAUAGCUCAGUUGGUAGAGCAUUGCACCAGUAACGCAAAGGUCGUGGGUUCGAAUCCCGUUCAGAGCC
rnacentral:tRNA from 1 species